GAUGAACGCUGGCGGCGUGCCUAAUACAUGCAAGUCGAGCGAACAGAUAAGGAGCUUGCUCCUUUGUCGUUAGCGGCGGACGGGUGAGUAACACGUGGGUAACUUACCUAUAAGACUGGAAUAACUCCGGGAAACCGGGGCUAAUGCCGGAUAACAUGUUGAACCGCAUGGUUCUACAGUGAAAGGCGGCUUUGCUGUCACUUAUAGAUGGACCCGCGCCGUAUUAGCUAGUUGGUGAGGUAACGGCUCACCAAGGCAACGAUACGUAGCCGACCUGAGAGGGUGAUCGGCCACACUGGAACUGAGACACGGUCCAGACUCCUACGGGAGGCAGCAGUAGGGAAUCUUCCGCAAUGGGCGAAAGCCUGACGGAGCAACGCCGCGUGAGUGAUGAAGGUCUUCGGAUCGUAAAACUCUGUUAUUAGGGAAGAACAAAUGCGUAAGUAACUGUGCGCGUCUUGACGGUACCUAAUCAGAAAGCCACGGCUAACUACGUG
rnacentral:rRNA from 1 species